rnacentral:tRNA from 1 species
CAGAGGUUAGUUUAUUAAAAUAUUAGUUUUGGGGAUUAAGGAUAGAAUUUUUCUACUUCUGA